GGGGUUGUAAAGGUUUCGACGGGGUUUUAGAAGCAAUGUAAGCCACUGGUGGCGGCCAACCACCUAAAAAUGACCAAAUAAAAAUAAACGCUAAGAAUAAUAGAUUAGCUUUAGCUGCUUAAUCGCGGCUACGCAGGCCCGGAGUUCCGCCGACCGGUCAACCUGUGUCAUCCAGGCGGAAAACUCUGUGCCGUAAGCUUUGCCGGUACAGAAAAUCCAUGAAGCUACCUUGCCGGGAAGUCUGUCCCUGGGGAUCGCGGUAAGGGAAUAAGCCUUUCAGGGACUGCAGUGGGAGAAAGCAGUGUGAAAGAAGCUUCGGACGCGGGUUCGAUUCCCGCCAGCUCCAUAA
rnacentral:tmRNA from 1 species